rnacentral:rRNA from 1 species
GUCGAGAAUCUUUCGCAAUGGGCGCAAGCCUGACGAAGCGACGCCGCGUGCAGGAUGAAGGUCUUCGGAUUGUAAACUGCUGUCUUUCGGGAUCAAGGAACCGCCGCUAACACCGGCGGGACUCGAUGGUACCGGAGGAGGAAGCCACGGCUAACUCUGUGCCAGCAGCCGCGGUAAUACAGAGGUGGCGAGCGUUGUUCGGAUUUACUGGGCGUAAAGGGUGCGUAGGCGGUCGUGUGUGUCGGAUGUGAAAUCCCACGGAUCAUCUGUGGAACGGCAUUCGAAACUGCAUGGCUUGAGUGCAGGAGAGGAGAGCGGAAUUCUUGGUGUAGCGGUGAAAUGCGUUGAUAUCAAGAGGAACGCCGGUGACGAAGGUGGCUCUCUGGACUGCUACUGACGCUGAGGCACGAAAGCUAGGGGAGCAAACAGGAUUAGAUACCCUAGUAGUCC